rnacentral:rRNA from 1 species
UACGUAGGGUGCGAGCGUUAAUCGGAAUUACUGGGCGUAAAGCGUGCGCAGGCGGCUUUCUAAGACAGGUGUGAAAUCCCCGAGCUUAACUUGGGAAUGGCGCUUGUGACUGGGGAGCUUGGAGUGCGGAAGAGGGAGAUGGAAUUCCUGGUGUAGCAGUGAAAUGCGUAGAGAUCAGGAGGAACACCGAUGGCGAAGGCAGUCUCCUGGGCCAGCACUGACGCUCAUGCACGAAAGCGUGGGGAGCAAACAGG